UUCUCUUUGUAGUGCUGGAGAUGGAAUCC
rnacentral:piRNA from 2 species